rnacentral:rRNA from 1 species
GAUGAACGCUGGCGGCGUGCCUAAUACAUGCAAGUCGAGCGAACGGACGAGAAGCUUGCUUUUCUGAUGUUAGCGGCGGACGGGUGAGUAACACGUGGAUAACCUACCUAUACGACUGGGAUAACUUCGGGAAACCGGAGCUAAUACCGGAUAAUAUUUUGAACCGCAUGGUUCAAAAGUGAAAGACGGUCUUGCUGUCACUUAUAGAUGGAUCCGCGCUGCAUUAGCUAGUUGGUAAGGUAACGGCUUACCAAGGCAACGAUGCAUAGCCGACCUGAGAGGGUGAUCGGCCACACUGGAACUGAGACACGGUCCAGACUCCUACGGGAGGCAGCAGUAGGGAAUCUUCCGCAAUGGGCGAAAGCCUGACGGAGCAACGCCGCGUGAGUGAUGAAGGUCUUCGGAUCGUAAAACUCUGUUAUUAGGGAAGAACAUAUGUGUAAGUAACUGUGCACAUCUUGACGGUACCUAAUCAGAAAGCCACGGCUAACUACGUG